rnacentral:rRNA from 2 species
CAUGUCUUUUUGAUUAUAAUUUAAAGUCUGACCUGCCCAAUGAGGAGUUGAAUGGCCGCGGUAUUUUGACCGUGCAAAGGUAGCAUAAUCAUUAGUUUUUUAAUUGAAAGCUGGUAUGAAUGGUUGGACGAGAAAAUAACUGUCUCAAUUUAAUUUUAAUUAGAACUUUAUUUUUAAGUAAGAAAGCUUAAAUGAAUUUAAAAGACGAGAAGACCCUAUAGAGUUUUAUAUUUUUUUAUAUUAAAUUAAUUUAGUAACUUGGAGUUUUAAUAUAAAAAAGUAUUUUGUUGGGGUGACAGAAAAAUUAAAGUAACUUUUUUUAAUUAGUAAACAUUAAUUUAUGAUUAAUUGAUCCGUAUAUUACGAUUAUAAGAUUAAAUUACCUUAGGGAUAACAGCGUAAUUUUUUUUGAGAGUUCAUAUCGAAAAAAGAGUUUGCGACCUCGAUGUUGGAUUAAAAUUAACUUUUGGUGUAGGAGCUAAAAAGGUUAGGUCUGUUCGACCUUUAAAAUUUUACAUG